CCUACGGGAGGCAGCAGUGAGGAAUAUUGGGCCAUGGGCGUAAGCCUGAACCAGCCAAGUCGCGUGAGGGAUGAAGGUUCUAUGGAUCGUAAAUCUCUUUUAAAAGGGAAUAAAGUGUGGGACGUGUCCUGUUUUGUAUGUACCUUAUGAAUCAGGAUCGGCUAACUCCGUGCCAGCAGCAGCGGUAAUACGGAGGAUCCGAGCGUUAUCCGGAUUUAUAGGGUUUAAAGGGUGCGUAGGCGGCCUUUUAAGUCAGCGGUGAAAGUCUGUGGCUCAACCAUAGAAUUGCCGUUGAAACUGGGGGGCGUGAUGAUGUUUGAGGCAGGCGGAAUGCGUGGUGUAGCGGUGAAAUGCUUAGAUAUCACGCAGAACCCCGAUUGCGAAGGCAGCCUGCCAAGCCAUGACUGACGCUGAUGCACGAAAGCGUGGGGAUCAAACAGGAUUAGAUACCCCAGUAGUC
rnacentral:rRNA from 1 species